rnacentral:rRNA from 1 species
UACGGAGGGUGCAAGCGUUAUCCGGAUUCACUGGGUUUAAAGGGUGCGUAGGAGGGCAGGAAAGUCAGUGGUGAAAUCCUAGGGCUUAACUCUAGAACUGCCGUUGAUACUCUCUGUCUUGAAUACCGUGGAGGUGAGCGGAAUAUGUCAUGUAGCGGUGAAAUGCUUAGAUAUGACAUAGAACACCAAUUGCGAAGGCAGCUCACUACACGAAUAUUGACUCUGAGGCACGAAAGCGUGGGGAUCAAACAGG